UCAGAUGAACGCUAGCGGCAGGCUUAACACAUGCAAGUCGAGGGGCAUCGCGGGGUAGCAAUACUCUGGCGGCGACCGGCGGAAGGGUGCGUAACGCGUGAGCAACUUGCCCGUCACUGGGGGAUAGGCACUGGAAACGGUGUGUAAUACUCCAUAACAUAUGGAUUCACAUGGAUUUAUAUUGAAAGAUUCGUUGGUGACGGAUGGGCUCGCGUAACAUUAGCUAGUCGGCGGGGUAACGGCCCACCGAGGCUACGAUGUUUAGGGGUUCUGAGAGGAAGGUCCCCCACACUGGAACUGAGACACGGUCCAGACUCCUACGGGAGGCAGCAGUGAGGAAUAUUGGUCAAUGGGCGGAAGCCUGAACCAGCCAUGCCGCGUGCAGGAAUAAGGCCCUAUGGGUCGUAAACUGCUUUUCCUUGAGGGCAAUAAGGGUCACGUGUGGUCCGAUGAGAGUAUCAGGGGAAUAAGCAUCGGCUAACUCCGUGCCAGCAGCCGCGGUAAUACGGAGGAUGCGAGCGUUAUCCGGAUUUAUUGGGUUUAAAGGGUGCGUAGGCGGAUUAUUAAGUCAGUGGUGAAAUACCCGUGCUCAACAUGGGCCGUGCCAUUGAUACUGGUAGUCUAGAGUUCCGUUGCCGUGGGAGGAAUGAGU
rnacentral:rRNA from 1 species